UUGUAUUUCUCUUCUUCUCAAUGGUGGUAACCGUUCCCGCAAUGAAAGUCGAAAGCAUCCAUCCAUUGCAGAAGGAAGGAGCAUUGUUGUGUGUGAUGACCGAUUGAGAUUCGAGAGGUUUACGAACAGAAUGAGGAACCUGUAGUACCAUCAAUCAUUCCACCAUUAAUCCAACUCAACUCGUAGUUGGUCCUGAGGGGCAGGAUGCCACGAGCUGAGGUGGAAGGUGACAUGGCAGUUCAGUACGCUGCGGGAUCGGUCUCCUUGCCGUGUCAUCCCUUAUCCACUACCACCGGCCUCAGUGUUCGUAGACUGUGUACUAAGUGGAAGUUGUUUCCUACGUGGCCUUUUUAAAAGUGUCCUCUUGACCACUCCAAGGGUUAUUAAGUUGAAUUGAAGCAUGAAGCACAUGAUCCGUUUGAAAAAGCGAGCUUGAAGCGCCCGAAGCGUUUGGGAUGGCGCUUUUUUGGCCUGAAGCGACAAUUUACGUGAAGCGUUUUGAAGUGCCACUUUAAGCCCGAAACACAAAGUGUUUGAACUUUGAAGCGACGCUCCAGCCCAAUCAGGUCAGAUUUGGGUUUUUAUUUGGGCCCAAUAGUCUAAAUCAGAUCCAAUAGGCUUUAACUGGGGCCCAACAACUUUUUAUUGAUAUACCAGUUAGUUCCUUAUCCUAAAAAACGAAAGUUGCUUUAUUCAGCCGCUUCCUCCCUGUUCUCCAUGGAUUGAGUGAUGUUGAUGGAGAAGAAUACGUACUUGAUUAUGAUGAUUAUUGAUUAAAGACUAUCUUUUAUGUUUAUGUUUUAAGUGUGUUUCAACUUUAAUGUAUGUUUUAACUAUGUUUUUUA